GAAACUCCAAGAGCUUCACAUAUUAAGUUAGCUUUAGGAUUGAUGCACCUCGUUACAGAGAACACAAAAAAGAUCGAAAGAAGAAAAGAAAAGAGAGAAAACAAAGAAGAGAGAAGAUGAAAAUUUCAUUCAACCAAUUCCAUAACUACCUCAUUCCCUUCCCUGCUGCUGCAAAGGAAAGAAUUGGCCAUUACCAAAAUCAGUUGGGUAAGUUGUUACACGACAGCUAUAGCUUUUCCCAAGCUAAAACUCACGUUUCAUUAAAAUUUAAACGCACAGUAGUUACCAAAACGUAGCGUUCUACUACUAGUUAACUGACUAUUUUUUUCCUUGUUUUUAGUUUCCUACCGUAACAAAUACUCCCUCCCUCAAAAGAUCCUUGUCCUCAAAGAUUAAAGGUAGGGAAUUUUCUCUGCAGCUGUUGUAGGGACUCUC
rnacentral:lncRNA from 1 species